rnacentral:lncRNA from 1 species
UAUCAGUAUAAUCCUAAUUUGAGUUAGUCAACGAUAUUUUAACUUCAAAAUUUGAAUGUGUUAUUUAUCUUUACAGAUUUUGUUAGUAUACUUUGUGUAAUUCUUGUAAUUAUAAAUUAAUUAAAGUAAGUAAUUAGUUUAAAUUUUGAGCUUAAAAUAUUGCUGACCGACUAAAAUCAAACAAAUUGAAAAGCUAAAUAGUAAAAAUCAAAAUUUUGAAGAAUUAAAUAUCUAACUCAAAAUAGUAUAUAGUUCACAUAAGUUUUGUACAUUUUUACCAUAUCAAAUUAAGGAAUAAUUGCCUAUAUACCCAUCAAUAUUUAAUUUACCCCUACUUUUUUUUUUCUUUCUAAAAUACCUUUCAUAUGUUUCAUCGUUAUUGCAAAAUACCCCCGCAGUUAUCUCCUGUUAAGUUAACUUGGGUUAAACGUGAGUUAAACAUCUACCACAAUUAAAAAAAAUUAAAAUGUCAAUUUUACCCUUAACUUAAGGGCAAAUAAGAAAUGUUGGUGACGGUAGAGGGGUAUAUUGGAAAAGGCCAAAGGUCAAAAUACUUUUUGUGCUCCUGACUUUAAGGGCAAAUAAGAAAGUCAGUGAUGGUGGAAGGGUAUAUUUGAAAGGGCAAAAUAGUAAUUUUACAGAGUUAACAAAGUUAAUUAACAGAUUUUAACUCUAGAAAUAUAUAAAAUAGGUUGGAACGUAAAGAGGGUAUUUUCAAUAUUAGUCUUCUAAGAAGGAUAAAUUGGAAAGUCGGAAACUUUUCAGAGGUAUAUAAGCAAUUGCCCCUAAAAUUAAAGCAGAGCUAUUAAAGGUAACUAAGGACACAUUAGUAGGGCAACGGGUCGGAUUCGGAGCGAAUUUUUAAAACCUCAACCUGAAUCUAACUACUAGAAUCAAAAUCCGAAUCCGAACCCGUCGGAUUUUAAAAAUUCAUAAACAAAAUCGAACCUCACAAAAAAGAACCAAAUCUGAAACCAAAUCAGAAAACGCAAACCUCAAUGCAAUCAUUUCCCUUUACCAAAUUUUAAGUUAUGUUAUAGUCAAAUCUAAAAUUUUGAAGUACAAAUUCAAAUUUCUAAAUGAAAUCGUUUUGGGUAGGAAUUCGGGUUCAGAUUUGGUUUCGAAUAGGGUACAGAUAAAAAUCAUACCCAAACAUAAGUUUAUCGAAUUCUCGGUUUUUAUAUAAAUAACCGAAACAAUACCUGUUUAGCAUCUAUUAAAUCCGUCGAAUUCGAAUUCUGAUUCAAAUAAAAUUUCUGAUAUAG